UCGGCCUCAAACCGGCAUCGGGGGGGGGGCGGGGCGUCUGAAAAAACAUCCCGCGUCUCUCACGGCAGGCAACCUCCUUAAACCCGGAUUACGCGAUAUAAGAAUGAAUUUAAUUCAGGCCUUCAGCCCUCCGAACAAGGUCCGGAUGUCGAUACCCCACCCUUGCGGGAUGGAGCUGAAAUAAUUCGGGCUUUCAGCCCUUUCGGGUAAUGGUUAUGCGUGUUACACGCCGAAUCAUGUACCCGGCAUGACAAUUAACCAUUAAUAAACAGCCCUGAAAGGGCGAGAUAAUUCAGCCCAAUGCGGAGCGUUGGGGAAAAAAGCAAUAUCCCCGUUGGGAGGGCUGUAAGCCUGACGUAACCAUUGUCAUACAUUUGCACAUCCAUUAUUAAUAGUAAACACCAAACAGGGGAUCGCAUAAUUUGGGUUAAGCAUGGGUCAUGCAUCACUCUCUACAUACAAAAAAAUGUUAUAUAGCAUAUUGCACUACGGGAGACAUUAAAAAAAUUUACCCUAUCUUUGUAGCCUUAGCACACUAAAAAGAGA
rnacentral:sRNA from 1 species